rnacentral:rRNA from 1 species
UAGGGAAUCUUCCGCAAUGGACGCAAGUCUGACGGAGCAACGCCGCGUGAGUGAAGAAGGAUUUCGGUUCGUAAAACUCUGUUGUUAGAGAAGAACAGCGCACAGAGUAACUGUUAUGCGUGUGACGGUAUCUAACCAGAAAGCCACGGCUAACUACGUGCCAGCAGCCGCGGUAAUACGUAGGUGGCAACCGUUGUCCGGAGUUAUUGGGCGUAAAGCGAGCGCAGGCGGUCAAUUAAGGCGGAUGUGAAAGCCCCCUGCUCAACCGGGGAGGGUCAUUGGAAACUGGUUGACUUGAGUGCAGAAGAGGGGAGUGGAAUUCGAUGUGUAGCGGUGAAAUGCGUAGAUAUAUGGAGGAACACCAGUGGCGAAGGCGACUCUCUGGUCUGUAACUGACGCUGAGGUUCGAAAGCGUGGGUAGCAAACAGG